rnacentral:rRNA from 1 species
GCGGCGAACUGGUGAGUAACAGGUGGAUAAUGUGCCCUGAAGUGGGGGAUAACACCGGGAAACCGGUGCUAAUACCGCAUGUGAUCUUAGGGUCUGCGGACCUUAAGGUUAAAGCAGCAGUGCGCUUCAGGAUCGGUCCGCCCCCGAUUAGCUAGUUGGUGAGGUCAAGGCUCACCAAGGCUCCGAUCGGUAGCUGGUCUGAGAGGAUGGUCAGCCACACUGGAACUGAGAUACGGUCCAGACUCCUACGGGGGGCAGCAGUCUAGAGGCUUCGGCAAUGGGGGCAACCCUGACCGAGCGACGCCGCGUGUGGGAUUGAAGGCCUUCGGGUCGUAAACCACUGUCAUUGGGGAAGAAUGCCUGGAUGGCGAAUCCAGGAGGGACGGUACCCAAGGAGGAAGCCCCGGCUAACUCCGUGCCAGCAGCCGCGGUAAUACGGAGGGGGCAAGCGUUGUUCGGAUUUACUGGGCGUAAAGGGUGUGUAGGCGGCCGGGCAAGUCUGGUGUGAAAUCUUCACCGCUUAACGGGAAGAGGUCACUGGAAACUGCCUGGCUCGAGUAUGG